AUAAAUAAUUGUGAAAAUUAUAUGAAGUAUUUUGACUAAAUUUAUGAAAAUAAAUGACACAUUCAAAUUUUGAAGGUAAAGUGCUGUUAGCUGAUUCAAAUCAAAUAAAUUAAAAGGUGGAUAGUAAAAUUAGAAUUUUAAUUUAAAAGAUUGGGGACUGAUUUGGUUUCUCGAAAAAGAGUGAAAAAUUUGAAGAAAUUU
rnacentral:lncRNA from 1 species